rnacentral:rRNA from 1 species
GACGAACGCUGGCGGCGCGCUUAACACAUGCAAGUCGAACGGAAAGGCCUGCUUUCCCUUGUGGAUUGCGGGUACUCGAGUGGCGAACGGGUGAGUAACACGCGAGUGAUCUGCCCCCAACUUGGGUAUAAGCCUGGGAAACUGGGUCUAAUUCCCGAUAGGACUGCAGGGUGGUGCCUGUGGUGGAAAACGAUUUUCUAGUGGUUGGGGAUGAGCCCGCGGCCUAUCAGCUUGUUGGUGGGGUAAUGGCCUACCAAGGCGGCGACGGGUAGCCGGCCUGGGAGCGUCGACGGCGGCAUUGGGACUGGGACACGGCCCAGACGCCUACGAGAGGCAGCAGUGGGGAAGAUUGGACAGUGGGCGGAAGGGUGAAGCGGCGACGCCGCGAGGGGGAUGUCGGCCUUCGGGUUGUAAGCUCCUUUCGACCGCGAGGAAGCCACCUGGUUGGGAGGGUGGUGACGGUAGUGGUAGAAGAAGCACCGGCUAACUACGUG